GAUGAACGCUGGCGGCGUGCCUAAUACAUGCAAGUCGAGCGAAUGGAUUAAGAGCUUGCUCUUAUGAAGUUAGCGGCGGACGGGUGAGUAACACGUGGGUAACCUGCCCAUAAGACUGGGAUAACUCCGGGAAACCGGGGCUAAUACCGGAUAACAUUUUGAACCGCAUGGUUCGAAAUUGAAAGGCGGCUUCGGCUGUCACUUAUGGAUGGACCCGCGUCGCAUUAGCUAGUUGGUGAGGUAACGGCUCACCAAGGCAACGAUGCGUAGCCGACCUGAGAGGGUGAUCGGCCAAACUGGGACUGAGACACGGCCCAGACUCCUACGGGAGGCAGCAGUAGGGAAUCUUCCGCAAUGGACGAAAGUCUGACGGAGCAACGCAGCGUGAGUGAUGAAGGCUUUCGGGUCGUAAAACUCUGUUGUUAGGGAAGAACAAGUGCUAGUUGAAUAAGCUGGCACCUUGACGGUACCUAACCAGAAAGCCACGGCUAACUACGUGCCAGCAGCCGCCGCAG
rnacentral:rRNA from 1 species